rnacentral:rRNA from 1 species
UACGUAGGUGACCAGCGUUGUCCGGAUUUACUGGGCGUAAAGAGCGCGCAGGCGGUCGUUCAAGUCGAGUGUGAAAGCCCCCGGCUCAACUGGGGAGGGUCACUUGAUACUGAUCGACUCGAAGGCAGGAGAGGGAAGCGGAAUUCCCGGUGUAGUGGUGAAAUGCGUAGAUAUCUGGAGGAACACCGGUGGCGAAGGCGGCAUCCUGGACCAACACUGACGCUGAGUGAGCGAAAGCCAGGGGAGCAAACGGG